UAGAGAGGGAGAGACAGAGAAAGAUCUUCCAUCCACUAGUUCACUCCCCAUAUGGCUGCAAUGGCUGGAACUGGGCCAAUCCAAAGCCAGGAGCCAGGAGCUUCUUCCAGAUCUCCCAUGCAGGUGGAGGGGGCCGAGCACCUGGGCCAUCCUCUGCUUUCCCAGGCCAUAGCAGAGAGCUGGAUUGGAAGAGGAGCAGCAGGAACAGAAACUGGCACCCAUAUGUGAUGCUGGUGCUGCAGGUGGAGGCCUAGCCUACUAUGUCACAGUGCCAGCCCCGGAAAACACUUCUUGAUUUUCCAGUGGCAUCACCUUUUAUCCUGAGAAUCAAAUGAGCUGGGGCUCUCUCAAAAACCAAACCAUGUUUUUGUCUAAUAUCAGAAUUUUGACUGGAAGGGAUUAUAUGGAUUAUAUGGAUUAUGGAAUCUGCUUCUUUUUGUAUAGUUGGGAAGUCUGAAACUCAGGAAGGUUGACAAAGCAUCCAUUUUUGUUAUUUGGACAUUUCUCAUUUGCUAAUCAAAAGAUCCUACACAUUGUUACCAGAGUUGUUAAUAUGCACAGUGCCUAAGUCAUUAUGUGCACACUGAUAGUUCCUAGGGCAGGGAUAUCUAGAAUGAAAGAGAAGUGUGAGACACUGAAAUGGAAUUAAGUGUAGGAAGUUGUGAUCAUUUAAGGUGGUAAAUAGAGUGCUUGUGUCUUAAGAGACAUGGGCCUCUUCUGGAAGGGCUAUGUAGCAGGUUGGAGUACUCUGUAAAGAGGAACGUAUUAAUUUGCAUUUCUCUGAUGGCUGGGAAUAUCAAGCAUGUUUUCCAUAUGUUCUUGGCCAUUUGUAUCUCUUCUUUUGAGAAUUGUCUGUCAACUCAAAACCACAAUAAGAUUUCAACUCACUCCUGUUAGAAUGGGUGUUAUCGAAAAAUAAUAAAUGCUGGUGAGAACGUAGGAAAAGGGAAACUCUAACACAUUGUUGGUGGGAAUGUAAAUUAAUACAGGCACUAUGGAAAAAAAUGGAGAUUUAUUUAAAAAAAGAAAAGCAACUAGAAAUAUAAUUGCCAUAUGAUCUAGCAAUACCUGGGUAUAGAUCCCAAAGACAUAAAAUCCUUUUAUCAAAAGAGAUACCUGCUCCACCAUAUUUAUUGUAGUUUUGUUUAUAAUGGCCAAGAUUUGGAUUUAUCUAAGAUGUCAGUCACCAAAUGAAUGGAUAAAGAAAAUGCAACACACACAUAAAAAUACACACACCCACACAACGGAAUAUGAUUCAGCCAUAUGAAAGAAUGAAAUCCUAUUAUUUGCAUCAAAAUGUUUGGAAUUGGGGGACUGACAAAUACCACAUGUUCUUCCUCAUAUUUGGAAGCUGAAAUAAAAAUCUGAACAGAUAAUGUUGAUUACUAGAGGCUUGUAAAGGUAGGUGAAGUAGAAGGAGUUUGGCUAAUAACUACCAAAUAAGAAUUAGAUUGAAGUAAUAAGUUCCUGAUGUUACACAGCAAGGUUAGGAGACCACAAUUCACAAUAACCGAAUAUAUAUUUUAUGAUCAAAUCCAAUCAUAAAGUAAUGUCAAAGAAAUGGAAAUGUAUCACCCUGUUUUGAUCAGCACACAUAGUAUACAUGCAUUGAAAUGUCAUGCUGUAACUCAUAAGUAAAUACAAUUAGUUAUUUUUUCUAAGUUUUUAGAUUUGAUCUAUGAGCUAUUUAGAGGUGUGUUGUGUAAUCUUUAAGCAUACGGAUAUUUUCUAAUUAUAGUUAUUGAUUUAUAAUUUAAUAUCAAAAACAUACUCUGCACAGUGUCAACCAUUAAAAAAUUGACAAACUCACAGAUAGCAUCAUAUUGAGUGGGAAAAAGUUGGAAGCAUUUCCACUAAGUUCUGAAACCUGACAAGGAUGUCCACUCUCACUAUUACUAUUCAAUAUAGUCUAGAAGUUUUAGCCAGAGCCAUUAGGCAAGAAAAAGAAAUCAAAGAGAUACAAAUUGGAAAGAAGGAAGUCAAAUUAUCCCUUUUUGCAGAUGACAUGAUUCUAUAUAUAGGGGAGUGAAAAGAUUCCACCAAGAGACUAUUGGAAUACUUAAAAGUUUGGUAAAGUUGCAGGAUAUAAAAUUAACACACAAAGAUCAGUAGCUUUUAUACACACAAAUAAUACAGUGACUGAGGAAGAACUUGUAAGAUCAGAUCCAGGCACAAUAGCUCCAGAAAAUUUAAAUGCCUUGGAAUAAAUUUAGCCAAGGAAAUGAAAUAUCUCUAUGAUGUAAAUUACAAAACAUUAAAGAAAGAAAUAGAAGACCCAAAAAAGUGGAAAAAGUUUCCAUGUUCAUAGAUUGGAAGAAUAUCAAAAUUUUCAUACUACCUGAAGCCAUUUACAGAUUCAAGUAAAUCCCAGUCAAAAUGCCAAGAACAUUCCUCUCAGAUCUAGAAAAAAUGAUGCUAAAAUUCAUAUGGAAUCACAGGAGACCCCCAAAAGCUAAAACAAUUUUUUUAACAAAAAUAAAAUUGGAGGCAACACAAUACUAGAUUUCAAGACAUACUACAGGGCAGUUAUAAUCAAAACAGCCUGGUGUUGGCUCAUAAAUAAUGUAGACCAGUGGAACAGAAUGGAAACCCUAGAUAUUAAUCCAUGUAUCUGCAACCAGCUAAUCUUUGACAAACAAGCUAAAAUCAAUUCCUGGAGCGAUGACAGUUUCUUCAACAAAUGGUUUUGGGAAAAUUGGAUCUCUGUGUGCAGAAAUAUAAAACAAGAACUCUACCUUAUACCUUAUGUCAAAAUCAACUCAAAAUCUAUCAAGGAUCUUAAUCCAUGACCUGAUACCAUUGAAUUACUAGAGGAAAACUUUGGGGAAAGUCUGUUAAACAUUGGUAUAGGCAAAGACUACUUGGAAAAGACCCCAAAAGCACAAACAAUCAAAGCAAAAAUAGACAAAUGGGAUUAUGCAAGUUAAGAUGCUUUUGUGCUACAAAGGAGACACUCAACAAAGUGAAGAGGCAACUGACAGAAUGGGAGAAUUUAUUUGCAAACUAUGCAACUGAUAAAGGAUUAAUAUCUAGAAUCUAGAAAGAGCUCAAGAAACUCAAUAACAACAAAACAAGCAAUCCAGUUAAAAAAUGGGCAAAGCACUUGAACUGGCAUUUUUUUUCAAAAGAGGAAAUUCAAAUGGCCAACAGAUGUGAAAAAAUGUUCAGGAUCACUAGCCAUCAGAUAAAUCUAAAUCAAAAUCACAGUGAGAUUUCACCUCACCCCAGUUAGAAUGGCUCUCAUACAGAAAUCAACAAAUAAUACUGACAAGGAUUCCACUGUUGGUGGGAAUAUAAACUAAUACAGCCAUUAUGGAAGACAGUAUAGAGAUUUCUCCUGAAAAUAGAUCUACUAAAUGCCCUACCAAUCCCACCCCUAGGAAUGUACCCAAACAAAAUGAAAUCAACAUAUGAAAGAGUUAUCUGUACCCCUAUGUUUAUUGUAGCUCAAUUCAUAAUACCUAAGAUAUGGAAUCAUCCCAGAUGCUUAUUGACUGAUGACUGGAUGAAAAAAAAGUAGUAUAUGCACACUAUAAAAUACUAUUCAGCCAUAAAAAGAAUGAAAUCUUGUCUUUUGCAACAAAAUGGAUGCAACUGAAAACCAAUUGUGUUUAGUAAAAUAAGUCAGUCCCAAAAAGAGAAAUAUCAUAUGCUUUCUUUGGUAUGUGGCAGUUAAUAUAGGAUACAAAAAAAAAGGGUAGGAAUGAAAUGGACCUCUUAUGUUGUUGUUAGCCCUUGUUUAUACUUCUGUGGAACUAUAGUCUUCCUACUUUUUACUUGUUGACUAUUAUGGUUUAUGGUGAAUUAAGCCUGUGAUUAUAGAGCUGAUUGAAAGCAUGUUUUUGCAAUAAUUAAAGAAGGAAGGAGGACAGAUGAGGGAGUGAGGGGAGAGGGAUGUAUGCUUAUCUUCUUAGAACUGUACCUAUGAAAUAUAUGAAAUCUGUUCUCUUUACAUCAAUAAAAAUAGAAAAAGUUAUGAUUUGUUCUAUGGCUUACAUGGUUUAUGUCAUUGACAUUUCAGGUACAUUUGAGAAAAAUGUGUAUUAUGCCACUAUUGCAUGUUAUGUUAAAAUAAAUAUCUGUUAGGUCAUAAAAAGAGGGGCCCAUUGACACAUAGACUACUACAGGUGGCCGGUGCUGCGGCUCACUAGGCUAAUCCUCCACCUUGUGGCGCCGGCACACUGGGUUCUAGUCCCGGUCGGGGCGCUGGAUUCUGUCCCGGUUGCCCCUCUUCCAGGCCAGCUCUCUGCUGUGGUCAGGUAGUGCAGUGGAGGAUGGCCCAAGUGCUUGGGCCCUGCACCCCAUGGGAGACCAGGAGAAGUACCUAGCUCCUGCCAUCGGAUCAGCGCGGUGCGCCGGCCGCAGCGUGCCGGCCGCGGCGGACAUUGGAGGGUGAACCAAUGGCAAAGGAAGACCUUUCUCUCUGUCUCUCUCUCUCACUGUCCACUUUGCCUUUCAAAAAAGAAAAAAAAAGAAUACUACAGGUGUUCCAAGUCCCCUGUUAAUGAAAUCACACAAUGAAAGGAUAUUUGUAUUCUGAACACCUGAUUCCUAAUUCUGAGUAUCCUUAACAGAAAACCCUAUGUGUACAUAAUAUACAGUAUAGGAAAUAAAUAUUUUAAGGUGUGCCAAGCUGUAUUAUAUAAUGAACAUAACCUCCAAACCUAAAGACAGCUUAAGAGAACUAAAGUUUAUUUAUUUAUUUUUUGGUUUAAACAACAUAAAUUUAUUUCUUUCAGUUCUAGAAAGUUAAAGUUCCAAGGUCAAGGCGCCAGUCAGCAUGGUUCCUGGUGAAAGCUCUUCCUGGUUUGCAGCUGAGAACUUCCUGCUGUGUCCUCACAGAGAGAGUUUUCUCUCUCAAGUCUCUUACUACAAGGACAUCAAUCCCAUUCUCAAGGGUUCCACCCUCCUGACUUAGUCACAUUAAUAAUCCGGGAAGAGUUAGCAAUUGAUGGCUGAUCUUGACCAAGGAUUCUAUUCUAGAAACUAGGCAAGUGAGAAUUUUCCUUACAUGUUUUUUAACAGUCAAGUGCUAUGGCUUAUUUUGUGAGAGGAAUAACUUGGAGAACUCUGAGGAGUCAAAGUAGAUCAUUCCAAGUGCAGCAAGUAUCGGGGGAUAAGACCUAGAAGUCAGUCUCUGACUUUUUCUCAGAAACUUGAUGAAGACAUAUAGAAAAAAUCAGAACAGCUGCUCUCUUCCAUUGAUACUAAAACAACACAGAGGCUGAGAUUAUACCACCAGACACUGAAGUAAGAAAUUAGGGGCUUUCUGAAUGAUACCAAAGUUACACCUGUUGGUAAUGCCAGAUGAGAAAUUUUUUUCAGUAACUUCUCCACUUACCUUUUUAGAAAAAAGUUCUUGGUAAUGUGUUAGCUUUGUAGACCCACCUGUCUCCCUGUGUUGGUUCCUCUACUUCUAGUUAUAUUGAAUUUAGAUAAAAUUACUUUAGAUUGUCCAGUAUCAAUUUUUCAAAAUGUAAAUUGUAAAAUGCUGUAACAUCUAAAAGGGAUAAUACGAACAGCAUCUGGUAUGUAGGUGCUAAAUAAAAAUUACUUGCCUUGCCAUCUUUGGGGAAGAUACGUUUGAAGUAAUUGAGAAGAAAUGAACCAGAUCAGUGACUGGGAAACCUAGUUACACACUGAAAUUAUGUGAGGACCUUAAAGACUAAGGAACUGCUGAAUGGGAAUCUUUGAGGUUACGCCUGGAAACCUACACUUUUUAGAAGAUUCAGAUAAUUCUGAUGCCCACCUAAGUCAAUAAACUACACGAAUUCUUAGCAUUAUUUCUAUUCUGUUAUUUCCUAUAGUCAUGUUAAGGUCAGUUUACUUGGAUAAUUAAUAUUAACCAGUGUUCAGAAUAAUCCACUCAUAGUUUAUAAAUGCUUGUGGGCUGGAUCAUAGAAGAUACUUGCAUUGCUUUGAUCACAUCUAAUUUCUGCAAGCACUGAAAAGGCAGCAUUGUGGCACAGCAGUGUAAGCUGCCACUUAGAAUGCCUGCAUCCCACACUGAAUUCAAGUCCUGGCUGCUUAGCUUCUGAUCCAGCUUCCUGCUAAUGCCCCUGAAAGGCAACAGAACUUGCCACCCAUGUGAAAAGCCAGGAUGGAGUUCUUGACUCCUGGCUUCAGCCUGGCCCAGACCUAUCUGUGUGGACAUUUGGGGAGUGAACAAGCAAAUGAACCCUCUGUUCCUCUGUGCCUCUCUCUCUUGCUCUGCCUUUCAAAUGAAUAAAUGAAUCUUUAAAAAAUUAUAUGUGAUAAACUCAUUCCACAAAUAUUUAGCACCUACUAUAUGCUACACAUAGCAUUACAUGCUUCUAAUCAGUUAAACAGGCAAAAAUUCUUGCUUUUGUGAAACUUAGUAAAUAUAAUCUUGUUGGGGUAUUUCUAGGAACUGAGCAAUUAAACCUUUGCUGCAACUAUAAUUGAAACUUAGUAGUAAGUAAACAGGAAGUUUACUACUAUACAUAUUCACUUACUUUUUUCUCAUUUUUGUUACAUUAUGAAAAAUUUCAAGUACUUUACCUUCCUACCUACAGGACUGUUCCAGGUACUUCACUUCGCUGCCCAUGUUUGUUAUUCUCAGUAACUGUAACUGUUCAGGUACCUUGCAUGUGAUUUACACAGUGAAUGGUCCUGCUUUUGGAGCCAGUUAAUGAUAUAAUAUCCCCAUUUAUAUUCAGAGCAGUCAACACUCUCUAGCUCUCAGAAUAAUAAAAGCACCUGCAUUUAAUAUACAUGGAAGAAUGGGAAGGCAAAUAGCAGAUAAGGCACAAUCAGAAAUUAUGUAGUGUGUAUAGACGACUAUGAGGUACUUCAAUGAAUAAAACUGGAUGGAAGAAGGAACAAAAAACAGUAAGUAACACAUGUAAAGCACUUCGGGUGGUUCCUAGAACAAAGCAGAUUCUCAGCAAUGUUAGCUUCUUGCUCUUUAUUCCUUCCGAGAGGCCACCUCUGCCGGGAACUUUACUUCGCCUUCCUGUGCGGCGUAGGAUAUGUUUUGUUGCUCUCAUGAAACUGUCCCCAGAGUAGAAUUUGGAGUUUGUGAUGUAUUGAUAGCUGCCUCCUGUAACAAUGUGAGAGCAGUAGAGGCUGUUCCUCAGAGGAGCAGGCUCUGCUUCUUGGGGACCACCAAUGGGUGCUCUGAUUUUGUUUGUUUGCUUAGAUUUUAUUUAUUUGACCAGGAGAGAGAGUGAGUGAGAGAGUCAGCUUCCAUUGCUGGUUCACUCCCCAGAUGCCCACAAUGGCUAGAGCUAGGCUAGGAACCUGAAACUCCAUAUGGUCUCCCACUUGGACUGCCUAUUUCAAUAGUGGCUUAACUUGCUGUGCCACAAUGCUGUCCCCUCAUUGGGUGGUCUUGAAGGAUCAUUUAUCCACACAGGAUUAGGGAAACCACACUGUAGAGACAAAGACUUUUUCAGUUGGGAAAUUUUUUCUGUUGCUAUUUUGCUGAGUAAAUCCAAGCCAUUCUAUUUUUCUAUACCUUCAGGAACUACUAAGAUGUAUAUUUUGGUCCUUUGGUGCUAUCCCCUGUAUGUUGAACAUUGUUUUCAGUUUUUCAAAUUUUUUCUUCUUCUUUUCUUUUUGUCUGUCUGAGUUAUUUCCAAAGAUUUCUCUUCUACUGCAGAUAUUUUUUCUUUUGCCUCAUUGAGUCUGUUCAGGCUUUCCACUGUAUUUUUUAUUUUACACAUUGAAUUCUUCAUUUCUAAUAUUUCUGCUUGAUUUUUCUUUAGUAUCUUUAUCUCCUGGUAGAAGUUUUUGGCCAUGUCAUGUGUGGAUUUCUUUAAAUCAUGUAUUUUAUUCUCUGUGUUUUUGAGUAAAUUUAUGAUCAUCCUUUUAAAUUCCAUUUCAGAGAUUUCAUCAGCCUCUUUGUCUUCACAUUCUAAUUCUGCAAUGCAGUAUUCCUUUUUAGGGAGUCAUAUAUUGUCUUCCUUGUUCAUUUCUCUUGCAUUUUUACAUUUUUUAUGCCUUUGUGAAAGCACUUGUUGGUUUUUCCUCUGAGGGUUUUGUUCUUUGAAUUGUGCUUCUAUGGCUUACUGGAAUGCCUGCUCCUUCAGUGGAUAUCCAAAGGUGUUUUUCCCAUUGCUCAAGGGUGGAGCAAGAAUCCCAAAUGGCACCAAGGUUGGGCAUGGUAGAUCUCUAUCAUCAGCACAGGGCAACGUAUGAUCUUACUGCAUUGCAUGUUCACAGCCUCACCCCCCUGCCAAGCUGAACCACCUGCCCAGGGUGAGCGCACAGUGCCUGCACACCCCGCCCACUCAGGUACAUGAACCACACAAAGGAUCUACGUGCUACUCAGUGUGAUUGUGGAGUUCUGCAUGAGGAUCCUCCCUAGCACUCAGGGAAUUCUGAGUGUCUGGAGCCAGACCCAGUGAUUACCCAUAGAUCCAGCAACACCUUAUGUUCUAUUACACAGUCACUGGAUUCCCACAGCCACAGGGUUUAGGACUUCCACAGUAUCAGGGAACAGGGAUCCAUUCUGUGCCCUACAAGCCUCUUUUUCCGGAGAGAGAGCCACCCCGUUCCUGAAGGCAGCUGCCAGUCUGAAAGAGGUUGGUUGGUACUCUGCUUUGGCAGCUGAGUCUGCUGCCUUGGUGGGUGAGGCGAGGGGAACAGUAUGCCCCCGCUUCACGGAACUGAGUGGGUACCCUGCCCCCUGCCAACUCUCUAGGCUGAACUCAAAGAUGAUGGGGACACUGAAUUUAUCCCUCUGACAAAAUCCAUCAGUGGUGUGUGGACUGCUGCAGUCUCCAUUUGCCUUAUUAAGAUGGUGCUUCCUCCCUGGUGGUCUCCAGGUACCUUGAUCCCAGGGAGAAGAGAGGAAAUCAGUGUGCCUCCCCUUCAUGAGUUUAGGUGGGCACCCUGCCCCACACCAGUGCUUUUGGCCAUUUCAAAGUCAGGGGGAACUGCAAGGUUCUCCCUCAGACAGCAUCACCAGUGGUACACAGGCUGCUGCCGGUGCCUGUUACCUCACUCUGAGAAGAUGGCAUCCCCAGCAGAGUCGUGCUAGCUGCUCCGUGAUUGUAACCCCUGCUCCAUGGAGUCUCUCUUCUUUCUGAAGACUUUCCACUGAAAAUUUUUGUCCAGCUUUCCACUGGGAACGUGGUUCCUCCCCUGUUCCGGUAUCUUCCUGUGGUCAAAAUCAACAUGUCGUUCCCCUAUUCAGCCAUCAGGGAUCUCCUGCUUUUCUCAUCUUGCAGAAUCGAGAGACAGGAUAAGAUAAUCUUAUAUGAAUUUCAGGUCAUCCAAGCUCUGAAACUCUGUUCUCAUAAUAAUCCCAGUAGUGAAUUAUCUGUUCUUUCCCCUAAAGUGCCAUCUCUUUAGCACCAAGAGAAGGUGCUUGAACAUCCGCAUACCUGUUCAGAUUUGGAGUCCUCUAGAUACUUCUUUUCAGUGAAAAUAUGAAAUCUAUUAUUUCAUAUAAUUAGUCUGAUAUUCAUUAGGACUCAUUUCUGCUUUGAGGUGAUGAAGCAUCUGGUAUCUGUAAGUGUCUAUUUAGAAAAGUCACAUUGCAGGAGAGGGCAACACCUUUAUAAUUGUAUAGGAUUAUAGCCUUAGUGAUGGACAUAACAAAGUGCCCUGCAGAUCUGUAACAAGACUGUGAUCUGUCUAUCCUGCCCCGGUAUUGUACUAAACACCUUAUAGUACAUCUGUGCACAGCACUUUUAUGGUGCUUAGAUACCUGACCUAGUAAUUUUUUUUAUUAGAUAGUAAACUUUCAUGAAAUCUCUUCCAACCAAAAUAGGACCUGAAAACCAUUCAUGAUGCUUAGAAUACCUUGCAACUUGAUGGGAAAUUUUAGCUGUGGGAAUAAAUUACAGUUUUUUAAGUACUUUAGACAGUAGAGUAUAAUUGUAACUUUGAUGGGGAAAAAUGUAGGGCAAUUUGGAGUGAGAGAUGAAGACAAAUAGAGACAUGAGUUUUUUUUUUUUUUCAAAGAUUUAUUUAUUUAUUUGAAAGGCAGAGGCAGAAAGGCAGAGAGAGUGAGAGUGAGAGUGAGAGAGAGAGAGAGAGUGAGAGAGGUCUUCCAUCCACUGGUUCACUCCCCAGUUGGCCGCAAUGGCUGGAGCUGCGUCGAUCUGAAGCCAGGAGCCAGGAGCCUCUUCUGGAUCUCCCACGUGGGUGCAGGGGCCCAAGGACUUGGGCCAUCUUCUACUGCCUUCCCAGACCAUAGCAGAGAGCUAGAUAGAAAGUGGAGCAGCUGGGACUUGAACCUGUGCCCGUAUGGGAUGCCAAUACUGCAGGCAGUGGCUUUACCCGCUAUGUCACAGCGCCGGCCUCAGUGACUUAAGAUUUUAUUAGACAACUUUAUACAGUAGAAGAGGCCUAUGAGAGCAGGAAUCAACCUUGUAGUUUAGAGACUUGCAUUGCUUCUUGGCUCCAGUUCCUGCAGCCAGCUUUCUGUCAGCACAGACCCUGGCCAGGCAGCGGAGAUGACUCAAGUAACUGGGUUCCUGCCACCUCUGUGGGAGACCUGGAUUAUGCUUUCUGCUCCAGGAUUCAACCCCAACCCUAACCGCUGUUGCCAUUUGGGGAGUGAACCAAUGGAUGGAGCUCACUCUCUGCUUCUCAAAUAAACGCAAUAUAUUUUGAAAAGUGACCCAUUGCUUUUCAGUAAUCUGACUGACUCCUAGGGACUGUUCCAACUGAGUCGCUGUAGAUUGUGCAGGUCAGUGCAACCAUACCACAUCCAAGCUUUCCUGCAUUUCUCACAUUCUGGCUCUAAUUUCUCACAUUGAGGAAUUCUAUGAUUAUCAAUAACUGGAUGCAGAAUUAACAGUCUGGUCUACAUUCUUGCCUAAAUAUUCCAAAAUAAGACCCAAAGUCACACUGACUGUUUUACUCAUUUUUUACUAUAAACAUCUAUUACGAUUCCACUCCCCUACCAUUCAGCACAGACAUGGAACUUCUUGUCUACAUGGAGUUUCUGAUGUUGGAAGUCAAGAGUUCAGAAGGAAGAGAGUACCAAAGUCAACAGAUAGAGUGUCUCUCCAGGAUAUAUUUUAGAUACUUUCUUCUUAGUUUCCUACUUUCAUGCUCAUCUUCCCACUCCUCCAGUCCUGUAGCGUUUGCCUUGAAGCUACAGUGUAGUUUGAACAUAGCAUGGUAUCGUCUGACUCUCCCUGUUUUCCCUAGUGCCCUCAUCACCUCUCCCCAUGGCCUGCCUGUGCUCGCAAUGCAAGUCUUUAACCCUCUCCAGCUAGCCCUUCCCUCCAUCCGGCCCAGCCGGCAAGAUUUUAAGUCCUCAUUGCAUUUUACCUUAAUUUCAUGGAUGAAAGCUGUAGUGCUCUAGGAGUCUUUGGUUCUUUCAUCUUCAGGUCACCUGAUUUUUUUGUAUCUUCUCAGAAUUGUCUCACUUUUAUUAUGAUAAUAGCAAUAGGUACUGUUUUCUGAGUGUUUGCCAUGUGCCACAUAUUGUGACAGACAUUAAAUUACAUCACUAAUCACUUAUAGCUCUAAUCCUCAUUCCAAUCCUUCAGGGUAGACAUAUUAAAUUUAGAGAUGAGAAAACUGAUUCUCAGAUUAUUUAAAUGUCCGACUCCAAAGCCACUGUGGUUUCCAGUGUCUCAUCACAGCACUUCUGCCUAU